GUGGAAGUAGCCCAACGGUAGAGGCAGCGGUUCGAGAGGCCGUGUGUUGCGGGUUCGAGUCCCGCCUUCCGCA
rnacentral:tRNA from 1 species